rnacentral:rRNA from 1 species
UGGGGAAUAUUGCACAAUGGGGGAAACCCUGAUGCAGCGACGCCGCGUGAAGGAAGAAGUAUCUCGGUAUGUAAACUUCUAUCAGCAGGGAAGAAAAUGACGGUACCUGACUAAGAAGCCCCGGCUAACUACGUGCCAGCAGCCGCGGUAAUACGUAGGGGGCAAGCGUUAUCCGGAUUUACUGGGUGUAAAGGGCGCGUAGACGGAAGAGCAAGUCUGAUGUGAAAGGCUGGGGCUUAACCCCAGGACUGCAUUGGAAACUGUUGUUCUAGAGUGCCGGAGAGGUAAGCGGAAUUCCUAGUGUAGCGGUGAAAUGCGUAGAUAUUAGGAGGAACACCAGUGGCGAAGGCGGCUUACUGGACGGUAACUGACGUUGAGGCUCGAAAGCGUGGGGAGCAAACA